rnacentral:lncRNA from 1 species
UCAGUUUCCCUGAAUGGAGAAUGAUAAUGGCACUGAUCUCAUGUGGUUGUCUUGGGCUUUAGAGUGAGUUGAUAAAUAUGGAGUACUUGGAAUAAUGCCUAACUCAUAGUAAAUACUCAUUGCAUGUCAGCUGUUCUUAAUGAUUAAUUUUAUUUCCACUUUGUUCUAUAAGAUUCUGAGAUUUUAAAGGGAUGGCUCUUGUACUGUUUUUGUUUUUUUUUAGCUUCUAGAGCAAAAACAGCAUUCCUUGUUCUGUGACUACAUAAAUAAACAAUAGUCUGGAUUAAGAGUCAGACAUCUUUAGUAUCAGGAAAUCUGAUUAUUUUGCAUCUACUCCUCCUGAGAGAAGACACUUUGAAGACUUUUAUCCUCCCACUCCUGCUCUGUCCCCUCCUAGCCUUAGAGAGAAGCCUGGUGUCCUUCAGGAGGCACAACACAUCCAAGGAUUGGAGGCCAGGCCAUCACAGGUGCUGGUCUCCAAGGUUUUCAAGUGCAGGCUGCAGUCCAAAGCCAAGAACUGUUUCAUGGACGUUAGCGGGGCAUAUGAAGAAUUGGAAUAGAGACUGUAAACUUUACAUCAAUGUUAAUUUUCUUGAACUGGAUAACUGCACUUAAGGCAGUUACAUAGUGAAUAUCCCUGUUCUUUAGAAAUGUACAUGGCAGUAUUAAGUGUUCAAGAAGCAUGACGCAUAAAACCUGCACUCAAGUGUUCAGAAAAUAGCUAGCUAGCUAGGUAGAUAGCCAGCUAGCGAGAGUCAAUGUGGUAAAAUGUUAAAAUUGGUAGAUCUGGGUAUAUGGAAGUAGGGCUAUUUUGGAGUCUCUGUAUGGGGUUUGCAUUCAUUUUUUAACUGUCCUAUAGGUUUGAAAGUAUUUCAAAAAAGUUUUUUAAGAGUAUUUUUCCAAAUUCUUGUUUUAUGCUUGAUUAUACUAUGUCUAUUUUGGACAUGAACUGUAUAGUAUCCUCCCUUCCAUGAUAAAGUAAAUAAAGCACUGCAUUACAACUGCUU